AUUGAACGCUGGCGGCAGGCCUAACACAUGCAAGUCGAACGGUAGCACAGAGAGCUUGCUCUCGGGUGACGAGUGGCGGACGGGUGAGUAAUGUCUGGGAAACUGCCCGAUGGAGGGGGAUAACUACUGGAAACGGUAGCUAAUACCGCAUAAUGUCGCAAGACCAAAGAGGGGGACCUUCGGGCCUCUUGCCAUCGGAUGUGCCCAGAUGGGAUUAGCUAGUUGGUGAGGUAGUGGCUCACCAAGGCGACGAUCCCUAGCUGGUCUGAGAGGAUGACCAGCCACACUGGAACUGAGACACGGUCCAGACUCCUACGGGAGGCAGCAGUGGGGAAUAUUGCACAAUGGGCGCAAGCCUGAUGCAGCCAUGCCGCGUGUAUGAAGAAGGCCUUCGGGUUGUAAAGUACUUUCAGCGGGGAGGAAGGCAAUGCGGUUAAUAACCGUGUUGAUUGACGUUACCCGCAGAAGAAGCACCGGCUAACUCCGUG
rnacentral:rRNA from 1 species